GGCCCCGAGGUGACUUAACAUAUUGAAUUGCAAAUUCAAAGAAGCAGCUUCAAUUCUGCCGGGGCUU
rnacentral:tRNA from 2 species